AUCCAAGCUAAACACCCGUUGUUUAUCAAAUUCAUGGGAGGCAGAAAUCAUAAUGAUAGUUUGUUGAUGACACCUUUUCACUUUAGAGGGUGUGGUAAUAGUAUCUAAUGAUUCUAAU
rfam:Lupinus angustifolius cultivar Tanjil contig_14700, whole genome shotgun sequence.